rnacentral:lncRNA from 1 species
AGGACAAUGGAGCAUGUCUCCCCAUGCAGGUGGCUGAUCAAAGACAUGAGCUCUUCAACGAAGUAGUCCUCAACAACAUCUCUUUCUUUCCAGUGAACUAAAUUAUGGAGAAAGAUGACCUCAUGAACAAGAGGUCAUGGGCAGAUUGUCUUCCUUUAAACCCACCUUAAAUUAGGUUAUGGCCAAUGGCUUAUCACAGAAUCUGCUCUGGAAAAUCUUACAAUUCAUAA